UUAUUUUUUAUUUUUUGGGGGGGGACGAGUAUGGGCUGUGAUUGGUGGGGAUUUAAAUUUGGAUGUUUAGUUUGUUAAGGAGAAUAAAAAACACGAGAUCGAAGCAAGAAAAGGGGCGAUGGAGAGAGGGAGAGGUGAGCAGCAUGGUGUUCGGAUUCGUUUAUAGUGUGAUAAAUAUUGGGGAGAGAGGGAGGUGGAUGAGCUUGGAAACCAAGUAAAGACUGAUGGCGCCGCUGGUUGGGAAGUAGGGCCC
rnacentral:lncRNA from 1 species